UACCCAGUCGAGCGGCGAACGGGUGAGUAACACGUGGAUAACCUGCCCUGAGGUGGGGGAUAACCCGGGGAAACUCGGGCUAAUACCGCAUGAUACCGAGAGGUCAAAGGGGGCUCGCAAGGGCUCUCGCCAUAGGAGGGGUCCGCGUCCGAUUAGCUAGUUGGUAGGGUAACGGCCUACCAAGGCGACGAUCGGUAGCCGGCCUGAGAGGGUGAUCGGCCACACUGGAACUGAGACACGGUCCAG
rnacentral:rRNA from 1 species